rnacentral:rRNA from 1 species
GGCGGAAUUCGUGGUGUAGCGGUGAAAUGCUUAGAUAUCACGAAGAACCCCGAUUGCGAAGGCAGCCCGCUGUGGCGCCACUGACGCUGAGGCUCGAAGGUGCGGGUAUCGAACAGGAUUAGAUACCCUGGUAGUCCGCACGGUAAACGAUGGAUACCCGCUGUCCGGCCCGUACGGUCUGGGCGGCCAAGCGAAAGCGUUAAGUAUCCCACCUGGGGAGUACGCCGGCAACGGUGAAACUCAAAGGAAUUGACGGGGGCCCGCACAAGCGGAGGAACAUGUGGUUUAAUUCGAUGAUACGCGAGGAACCUUACCCGGGCUUAAAUUGCAGAUGAAUUACGGUGAAAGCCGUAAGCCGCAAGGCAUCUGUGAAGGUGCUGCAUGGUUGUCGUCAGCUCGUGCCGUGAGGUGUCGGCUCAAGUGCCAUAACGAGCGCAACCCCUCUCCGCAGUUGCCAUCGGGUCAUGCCGGGCACUCUGCGGACACUGCCGCCGCAAGGUGCGAGGAAGGUGGGGAUGACGUCAAAUCAGCACGGCCCUUACGUCCGGGGCCACACACGUGUUACAAUGGCCGGUACAGAGGGCUGUCCGCAUGCAAGUGCGGGUGAAUCCCGAAAUCCGGUCCCAGUUCGGACUGGGGUCUGCAACCCGACCCCACGAAGCUGGAUUCGCUAGUAAUCGCGCAUCAGCCAUGGCGCGGUGAAUACGUUCCC